rnacentral:rRNA from 1 species
UACGUAGGGUGCAAGCGUUGUCCGGAAUUAUUGGGCGUAAAGGGCUCGUAGGCGGUCCGUCACGUCGGGAGUGAAAACUUGGGGCUUAACCCCAAGCCUGCAUUCGAUACGGGCAGACUAGAGUACGGCAGGGGAGUGGGGAAUUCCUGGUGUAGCGGUGAAAUGCGCAGAUAUCAGGAGGAACACCGGUGGCGAAGGCGCCACUCUGGGCCGAAACUGACGCUGAGGAGCGAAAGCGUGGGUAGCAAACAGG